CCAUUCGGGCACAUGAUUAAAAAAAUUAUUUAUACACAAUAAAUUUUGUCGUUUUCAAAAAAUUAAUACUUUGACUGCAAAAUCUAAAAAUGGCGUCGCAACAACUAAACAAAGUAUUAAUUUUCUUGCAAAGACUGGUCAUAACUUUAAAUUUUUUUUAGGUACCUACUUGAAAAAAUAUUGAAACAUGAAGAUUUAUCAAGAGAGACCUCUGGUGAAAUACGCACCCAAAUAUGUAAAAGAUGAUAACUAGAAGAGCUAAGGCAGGAUUAGGAGAACAUACUACAACCAAUGAUGUCAUUCUGUUAUAGUACCAAGUUAUUUUGAGGAAGAAAGAAAAGUGUACAAAGACAGUAUUAAUGAAAGACGAAAGAAAAAUACCUAACAUUAUACGAAAUUAAAACAGAGUCGGUGCAAUUGUCUGCUGAGUCAAGACGAAGUAAAGGACAAGGUUGUGAAAGCUGUUAAUAUGAUAAAACACCACUCUCAUUACGAAGAAAAAAAUAUGUAUCAAUAUAGUUUAUGAAUACCACCAACUGUGUAAUAUCAAUAAAGAUCAAAUAGAUGAAAUAGAGAAUGUGGA